rnacentral:rRNA from 1 species
UACGUAGGGUCCGAGCGUUGUCCGGAAUUAUUGGGCGUAAAGGGCUCGUAGGCGGUUUGUCGCGUCUGCUGUGAAAACUCGAGGCUCAACCUCGGGCUUGCAGUGGGUACGGGCAGACUAGAGUGCGGUAGGGGUGACUGGAAUUCCUGGUGUAGCGGUGAAAUGCGCAGAUAUCAGGAGGAACACCGAUGGCGAAGGCAGG